rnacentral:rRNA from 1 species
AACGAACGCUGGCGGCAGGCUUAACACAUGCAAGUCGAACGCAUGCCUUCGGGCAUGAGUGGCAGACGGGUGAGUAACGCGUGGGAACCUACCCCUUGGUACGGGAUAGCUCCGGGAAACUGGAGAUAAUACCGUAUGUGUCCUGAGGGACAAAGAUUCAUCGCCAAGGGAUGGGCCCGCGUCGGAUUAGCUAGUUGGUGGGGUAACGGCCUACCAAGGCGACGAUCCGUAGCUGGUCUAAGAGGAUGAUCAGCCACAUUGGGACUGAGACACGGCCCAAACUCCUACGGGAGGCAGCAGUGGGGAAUAUUGGACAAUGGGCGCAAGCCUGAUCCAGCCAUGCCGCGUGAGUGAUGAAGGCCCUAGGGUUGUAAAGCUCUUUCACCGGUGACGAUAAUGACGGGAACCGGAGAAGAAGCCCCGGCUAACUUCG